UGGAAAGGCAAACUAUCUGACUAUUGAAGCCCAUCUAGUCUGUUAUUCUUUAUGGCCACUAUGUCUUCCACUAUGUUUUUUGGAGGGGUGCUGUGUGUCAACGUCAUAGUAAUAGUGCUGAUAUUGAUAAUCUUUUUGAUAUAGCUAUAGAUGUGAUAUAGAUAACUUUUUUGUUUACUGCUAAUGAUCUUUACCGAAUCAGCAGCGCACUGAUGUUACUGGUUAAAUUACGGUAAAAGAUAAGUCGGCUAGAGGUCUAAUCGUCGCAAGAAGCAGGUCUUCGAGGCAACCGUUAGUGCUGGUAGCGGCAUCAGGUCGUGUUUCAUGUGGUCGCCAGCAACGAAGCCGGAAUUAGGAGGAGGGCUUGGACGGAAGAGGGCGUCACUGACAAGGGUGACGCGACGCACGCCGUACCUUUCGAAGGUUACCAUCCGAAGUCAUCAGAUCUAAGCUCCACAAAGCGAAGACGUCGGCUACGUAGAACGUUGACGGGCAAGAAUGCAAGAGUGCUCGCACCGUUGUAGAAUUACGGCGAUGGCGUGCAGCAGGUGGUCAGUUGGUAGCCGUUGCAAGACGCGAUAAUAUUGGCCCUUGCGAGGGACGGAGCCGCACGGAAGACACGCAAAAAUCUUCGUUUUUAGCAUUUCUCGGUUAUAAGUAGAAAUUGACUAAGAAUUCAUAAAUUUAAAAUACUAUAGAACUAAAAUGGAGUACGAAAAUCGUUCCCUGAGCUCAUUCAAAUCUCUAAUUAGAUUCUCUGGCUGUUACAACAGCCAUCUCCCUAUAGCGUACACACUGUUAGUAACAUGUAUAGAUAAGCCGCAAAUAAAUCGUGUCGUUCAUUUUGUUUCAUACCUGACGCUGAUAAUACCGAACGCUGUCAAAUAAAAUGCGUGCGGAGUAAAACGCGCCUGACUGCAGUAUAUAAUUAUGCAAAUAUAGUAGUAUUUGUUUUAUUUAGACAUAUACGUAGGCAGUUUAACUACCUGCCACCUAAAAAAGCCGCAGACCCCCUGGUAAUUAAAGAUAAACUAAGAGAUAAAUUUGAAUGCACAAAAAUUAAGGCCUGUAAAUUUUAAUAAAUUGUAAUUGUAUUAUCCGAGACUAAAUAAUAAGGCAAUAAAUACAUGAAUCUGAAGGCUUCAAAAAUACCUUAUAAUCCACAAUAAAUAUACCAGAAUGUGAUCACCGAGUGAUAA